rnacentral:rRNA from 1 species
GACGGGACCCCGCACAAGCGGUGGAUCAUGUUGUUAAUUCGACGAUACGCGAAGAACUUACCAGGUCUUGACAUCCCCUGCAAAGCUAUGGAGACAUAGUGGAGGUUAUCAGGGAGACAGGUGGUGCAUGGUUGUCGUCAGCUCGUGUCGUGAGAUGUUGGGUUAAGUCCCGCAACGAGCGCAACCCUUAUUGCUAGUUACCAUCAUUAAGUUGGGGACUCUAGCGAGACUGCCAGUGAUAAACUGGAGGAAGGUGGGGAUGACGUCAAAUCAUCAUGCCCCUUAUGACCUGGGCUACAAACGUGAUACAAUGGCUGAAACAAAGGGCAGCGAAGGAGCGAUCUGGAGCGAAACCCAAAAAAGCAGUCUCAGUUCGGAUUGAAGUCUGCAACUCGACUUCAUGAAGUCGGAAUCGCUAGUAAUCGCGGAUCAGAACGCCGCGGUGAAUACGUUCUCGGGGUUU